rnacentral:rRNA from 1 species
CAGUCGCCGCGGUAAUACGGAGGGAGCUAGCGUUGUUCGGAAUUACUGGGCGUAAAGCGCACGUAGGCGGCUUUGUAAGUUAGAGGUGAAAGCCUGGAGCUCAACUCCAGAAUUGCCUUUAAGACUGCAUCGCUUGAAUCCGGGAGAGGUGAGUGGAAUUCCGAGUGUAGAGGUGAAAUUCGUAGAUAUUCGGAAGAACACCAGUGGCGAAGGCGGCUCACUGGACCGGCAUUGACGCUGAGGUGCGAAAGCGUGGGGAGCAAACAGGAUUAGAUACCCCUGUAGUCCCUGUCUCUUAUAC